rnacentral:rRNA from 1 species
UACGAACGCUGGCGGCGUGCCUAACACAUGCAAGUCGAGCGAAGCAUUUUGAAAAGCUUGCUUUUUAGAAUGACUGAGCGGGCGACGGGUGAGUAACGCGUGAGCAACCUGGCCUUUACAGGGGAAUAACAGUUGGAAACGACUGCUAAUACCGCAUAACACUUUAGAAUCGCAUGAUUCAGAAGUCAAAGAUUUUAUCGGUAAAGGAUGGGCUCGCGUCCCAUUAGCUAGUUGGUGGGGUAACGGCCUACCAAGGCAACGAUGGGUAGCCGACCUGAGAGGGUGAUCGGCCACACUGGAACUGAGACACGGUCCAG